GACGAACGCUGGCGGCGUGCUUAACACAUGCAAGUCGAACGGAAAGGCCCUGCUUUUGUGGGGUGCUCGAGUGGCGAACGGGUGAGUAACACGUGAGUAACCUGCCCUUGACUUUGGGAUAACUUCAGGAAACUGGGGCUAAUACCGGAUAGGAGCUCCUGCUGCAUGGUGGGGGUUGGAAAGUUUCGGCGGUUGGGGAUGGACUCGCGGCUUAUCAGCUUGUUGGUGGGGUAGUGGCUUACCAAGGCUUUGACGGGUAGCCGGCCUGAGAGGGUGACCGGCCCCAUUGGGACUGAGAUACGGCCCGGACUCCUACGGGAGGCAGCAGGGGGGAAUAUUGCACAAGGGGCGGAAGCCUAAUGCAGCACCGCCGCGUGCGGGAUGACGGCCUUCGGGUUGUAAACCGCUUUCGCCUGUGACGAAGCGUGAGUGACGGUAAUGGGUAAAGAAGCACCGGCUAACUACGUG
rnacentral:rRNA from 1 species